GAUGAACGCUGGCGGCGUGCCUAAUACAUGCAAGUCGAGCGAACAGACGAGGAGCUUGCUCCUCUGACGUUAGCGGCGGACGGGUGAGUAACACGUGGAUAACCUACCUAUAAGACUGGGAUAACUUCGGGAAACCGGAGCUAAUACCGGAUAAUAUAUUGAACCGCAUGGUUCAAUAGUGAAAGACGGUUUUGCUGUCACUUAUAGAUGGAUCCGCGCCGCAUUAGCUAGUUGGUAAGGUAACGGCUUACAAAGGCAACGAUGCGUAGCCGACCUGAGAGGGUGAUCGGCCACACUGGAACUGAGACACGGUCCAGACUCCUACGGGAGGCAGCAGUAGGGAAUCUUCCGCAAUGGGCGAAAGCUUGACGGAGCAACGCCGCGUGAGUGAUGAAGGUCUUCGGAUCGUAAAACUCUGUUAUUAGGGAAGAACAAAUGUGUAAGUAACUAUGCACGUCUUAACGGUACCUAAUCAGAAAGCCACGGCUAACUACGUG
rnacentral:rRNA from 1 species